rnacentral:rRNA from 1 species
GGUGAACGCUGGCGGCGUGCUUAAGACAUGCAAGUCGAACGCGGUCUUCGGACCGAGUGGCGCACGGGUGAGUAACACGUAACUGACCUACCCAGAAGUCAUGAAUAACUGGCCGAAAGGUCAGCUAAUACGUGAUGUGGUGAUUUGCCGUGGCAAAUCACUAAAGAGUUAUCGCUUCUGGAUGGGGUUGCGUUCCAUCAGCUGGUUGGUGGGGUAAAGGCCUACCAAGGCGACGACGGAUAGCCGGCCUGAGAGGGUGGCCGGCCACAGGGGCACUGAGACACGGGUCCCACUCCUACGGGAGGCAGCAGUUAGGAAUCUUCCACAAUGGGCGCAAGCCUGAUGGAGCGACGCCGCGUGAGGGAUGAAGGUUUUCGGAUCGUAAACCUCUGAAUCUGGGACGAAAGAGCCUUCGGGCAGAUGACGGUACCAGAGUAAUAGCACCGGCUAACUCCGUGCCAGCCGCCGCGGUAAGAC